GGGAAAUGUUGCCUGGCUGUGUGCUAA
rnacentral:piRNA from 1 species